rnacentral:rRNA from 1 species
CAGGUGCUGCAUGGCUGUCGUCAGCUCGUGUCGUGAGGAUGUUGGGUUAAGUCCCGUAACGAGCGCAACCCUUGUCCUUAGUUACCAGCACGUUAUGGUGGGCACUCUAAGGAGACUGCCGGUGACAAACCGGAGGAAGGUGGGGAUGACGUCAAGUCAUCAUGGCCCUUACGGCCUGGGCUACACACGUGCUACAAUGGUCGGUACAAAGGGUUGCCAAGCCGCGAGGUGGAGCUAAUCCCAUAAAACCGAUCGUAGUCCGGAUCGCAGUCUGCAACUCGACUGCGUGAAGUCGGAAUCGCUAGUAAUCGUGAAUCAGAAUGUCACGGUGAAUACGUUCCCGGGCCUU